rnacentral:ncRNA from 1 species
CAAAAUGGAUCCGUAACCUCGGGAAAAGGAUUGGCUCUGAGGGCUGGGCACGGGGGUCCCAGUCCCGAACCUGUCGGCUGCCGGUGCACUGCUCGAGCUGCUUCCGCCGCGAGAGCGGGUCGCCGCGUGUCGGCCGGGGGACGGACUGGGAACGGCUCCUUCGGGGGCAUUCCCCGGGCGACGAACAGUUGACUUAGAACUGGUACGGACUAGGGGAAUCCGACUGUUUAAUUAAAACAAAGCAUUGCGAUGGUCCCUGCGGAUGCUCA